rnacentral:rRNA from 1 species
GACGAACGCUGGCGGCGUGCUUAACACAUGCAAGUCGAACGGUAAGGCCCUUCGGGGUACACGAGUGGCGAACGGGUGAGUAACACGUGGGCAACCUGCCCCUCACUCUGGGAUAACCCCGGGAAACCGGGGCUAAUACCGGAUACGACCUGUGCGGACAUCUGCACGGGUGGAAAGAUUUAUCGGGGAGGGAUGGGCCCGCGGCCUAUCAGCUAGUUGGUGGGGUAACGGCCUACCAAGGCGACGACGGGUAGCCGGCCUGAGAGGGCGACCGGCGACACUGGGACUGAGACACGGCCCAGACUCCUACGGGAGGCAGCAGUGGGGAAUAUUGCGCAAUGGGCGAAAGCCGGACGCAGCGACGCCGCGUGAGGGACGACGGCCUUCGGGUUGUAAACCUCUUUCAGCGCCGAAGAAGCGAAAGUGACGGUAGGCGCAGAAGAAGCACCGGCUAACUACGUGCCAGCCGCCGCAGUAACAC